CCUACGGGAUGCAGCAGUGGGGAAUAUUGCACAAUGGGGGAAACCCUGAUGCAGCGACGCCGCGUGAGUGAAGAAGUUUUUCGGUAUGUAAAGCUCUAUCAGCAGGGAAGAAAAUGACGGUACCUGAUUAAGAAUCCCUGGCUAACUACGUGCCCGCAGCCGCGGUAAUACGUAGGGGGCAAGCGUUAUCCGGAUUUUAUGGGUGUAAAGGGAGCGUAGACGGGAGCACAAGUCUGGAGUGAAAUGCCGGGGCUUAACCCCGGAACUGCGUUGGAAACUGGGAAGCUAGUGUGAAGGAGAGGUAAGUGGAAUUCGUAGUGUAGCGGUGAAAUGCGUAGAUAUUAGGAGGAACACCAGUGGCGAAGGCGGCUUACUGGACUGUAACUGACGUUGAGGCUCGAAAGCGUGGGGAGCAAACAGGAUUAGAUACCCUUGUAGUC
rnacentral:rRNA from 1 species